rnacentral:rRNA from 1 species
GAUGAACGCUGGCGGCGUGCCUAAUACAUGCAAGUCGAGCGAACAGAUAAGGAGCUUGCUCCUUUGACGUUAGCGGCGGACGGGUGAGUAACACGUGGGUAACCUACCUAUAAGACUGGAAUAACUCCGGGAAACCGGGGCUAAUGCCGGAUAACAUUUAGAACCGCAUGGUUCUAAAGUGAAAGAUGGUUUUGCUAUCACUUAUAGAUGGACCCGCGCCGUAUUAGCUAGUUGGUAAGGUAACGGCUUACCAAGGCAACGAUACGUAGCCGACCUGAGAGGGUGAUCGGCCACACUGGAACUGAGACACGGUCCAGACUCCUACGGGAGGCAGCAGUAGGGAACCUUCCGCAAUGGGCGAAAGCCUGACGGAGCAACGCCGCGUGAGUGAUGAAGGUCUUCGGAUCGUAAAACUCUGUUAUUAGGGAAGAACAAAUGUGUAAGUAACUGUGCACGUCUUGACGGUACCUAAUCAGAAAGCCACGGCUAACUACGUG